GGCGAGUAGCCGCGGCGGCGGGAGGGAGAGGCGCAGGGGAGGUUUUCCUGGUUUCGGACCCCACUGGCGGGAUGGUGAAAUCCUCCCUGCAGCAGACCCUCAAUAGCCACUGCUUCGCCAGAGAGAAGGAAGGGGAUAAACCCAGCGCCACCAUCCACGCCAGCCGCACCAUGCCGCUUCUAAGCCUGCACAGCCCCCAGGGCAGCAGCAGUGAGAGUUCCAGGCUCUCCCUCCGCUGCUGUAGUAACCCGGGUCGGGGGCCUCCGUGGUGCUCCUGAUGCCCCUCACCCACCCCUGAAAAUCCCAGGUGGGGAGGGAAUAGUCAGAGGGAUCACCAUCUUUCAGCUAACUUAUUCUACUCGGAUGAUUGGCUGAAUGUAACAGAGGAAGUAAUGUCCAACGAAAGAUGAGGAUUCUCAACCUCCAGUUCAGGCUCACAGACGCCAAACGCAUUAACUGUGGAACAGUGCUGAGUGGCGGCAGCCUCUACAUAGAGAUCCCGGGCGGCGGCUGCCUGAGGGGAGCAAGGACAGCUUUGCAGUUCUCCUGGAAUUCGCUGAGGAGCAGCUGCGAGCCAACCAUGCCUUUCUUCAUUUGCUUCCACAAGAAACCACCAGGACAGAGCUGCCUUGCUCUGAACCUUCAGCUUUUUGGGCUUUGAGGUUGUGAGACCGGGGCAUCCCCUUGUCCCCAAGACACUGGACGCUUGCUUCACGGCCUACACGUUCGAGAGAGAGUCUUCGGGAGAGGAAGAGGAGUAG